rnacentral:rRNA from 1 species
UGGGGAAUAUUGGACAAUGGGCGAAAGCCUGAUCCAGCCAUGCCGCGUGUGUGAAGAAGGUCUUCGGAUUGUAAAGCACUUUAAGUUGGGAGGAAGGGUUGUACGCUAAUACCGUGCAAUUUUGACGUUACCAACAGAAUAAGCACCGGCUAACUCUGUGCCAGCAGCCGCGGUAAUACAGAGGGUGCAAGCGUUAAUCGGAAUUACUGGGCGUAAAGCGCGCGUAGGUGGUUCGUUAAGUUGGAUGUGAAAGCCCCGGGCUCAACCUGGGAACUGCAUCCAAAACUGGCGAGCUAGAGUAGGGCAGAGGGUGGUGGAAUUUCCUGUGUAGCGGUGAAAUGCGUAGAUAUAGGAAGGAACACCAGUGGCGAAGGCGACCACCUGGGCUCAUACUGACACUGAGGUGCGAAAGCGUGGGGAGCAAACAGG